rnacentral:lncRNA from 1 species
AUUUCCUUAUAAGUCUGUCACCCUUAAAUAGUGUAAACAGAGAUUUAGAAGAAAAAAUGAGAAGCAUUGCUUUUAUGUUAGGUAUUUGAGAACCAUGAAGAAAAAUCAUAUCCAAGGUAGAUUUUCCUUCUUGGUUUAGAAUUCAGUCCAUAAUAGCAGUGAAAGGAGCUAAGGUUCAAAGAACCGAAUCUCAAAUACUAGUUUGUUAUUCAUAAAAGUUAAACAGUAAGUGAUUUUAGUAUCUUAGCUUUCUGUCUGUUUUCAGAUACAGUUUCCAUGUGACUGCCAGCCAUGAGCUGUAGCUCAAGCAACUGAUUAUUAAUGAUUUUUGAGUUAUCAUGCACAGCUUUUAUGGAUUAUUUUAUUUUUAUCCUGAGUUUUAAGAUGCCCAGAAUGAUCAUUUUUUCCCUCUUUUAAGGAGUGGUGGAAAGGUCCUUGAGCUUAUUUGUGCUCAGAAUGGAUUUACAGGCAGGAGUUUAUUUGUAGUUUUUGGUUAGUCUCCAUUAAACAUUAUUCAUUUAAAAAAUGGAAGUCUAUAUUUUUAUACAUGCUGCUUUGAUAAGAAUAUUCCACUGUUUGAAGAGAAUAAGCUCCUGGGAAAUUACACCAUUAGUAGCUUUUCAUGAGUAGUAGCCUCAAGUGGUAGUCUCCCUUCUUGCAGGAGAAAGUAAAGUAUUUUUCACACCUGUCAAGUUACUCCUAGGUUCAGUGUGUAAUCAGUGAUUUGAGACUCUGUGUAGGUCAUACAGAAGUGUCAAACAGAGCCCAUGAAAUGAAAACGCAUUUGUGCCUUCUUUUGAUUUAUAAUUCAAAUUGCCUUCAUUUUCCUCAUAUCUUCUCAAAAUCAUGUUCUUCCAUUUUUUGAAGCUAUUCUUAAACUUUGUUAUCCACGUCUUAGGUUUUCCAAAGACAAGUAUAUUGGCCUAUGCUGUAGUAAUCUUCCUUAAUUGAUUUGGGAUGUCUGCCAGUGUCUUAUUAUUCUGCGCUGAUAUCUUUAUAUGACUGGCUUUUAUCCAAGUGCUGUCAUCUUUCUCAUUUUCUUCAUCUCUUUUUGUGUUGAGACAAUAUUCUUAGCCUUUGAGUUGCUCCUUCAUCCCUCGUGUUCGCAGUGGAAAAGGAUUGUAGGUACCGGAAAGCAUAUAUACGGAAGUUGGAGAACUGAUAAAUGCUAAGGACUGUUACCUGAUUUCUUUAGAGGUGAGACCAUAUGGAGGUAAUUUAGAAGUAUUACAUUUUCUCUUGGAUCAGUGUGCAAAUAUUUAUAAGUAACACAUAGUAACUGUCCACGGUUAUUUUUCUGUUAAUAUUAAAACAAUAAUGAAUUCUCAGGCUGUUAGUAUAUUUUAUGUAAUAUACUCUGUGGAACUGAUAUAAUUACAAUCAGUAAUAUAGACUUUUAGUCCACAUUUAAAGUAGUAUCUGAGUAGCUCGUUAUUUUCAAAGUAUGUUCAUAUCCAUAACACCUUGUUAGACAUUAUUAAUUAUAACCUGCCAUCAUUUUACAGGAGAAUUGGAAACUACAGGCUCUUUUUACACCAUUUCUUUGAAAGCAGUGCUGAUUUGUAACCAGAUUCACCAUCUGACCAUGCAAUUCACUACAGGGGGUGACAUUAGGGCCAGAUUUUGGGUAAGCCAGCUGCUGCAAACAGCAGGAAAAUGUCUGGUACCCGCUGCACCGUAAAGUGCACCCAAAGAUUCCCUUAUCUGCACUGACAGCAGAUCCACCCCAGUAGCACAUGCCAGACCAUUUUCAUAUUUCUUGCCUGUAUUUGCAGUGACAAUAUGGGACCAAUAGAGUGUGUACAAGAGAACCUACAGUUAUUCCUAGGAGGGACCGAUUUAGCAUUUGCAUGUGAAGGUGGUUGCUUGUAAAGACAAGGUAGUUACCUGGAAGCAGGUCUCCAGAAGUUGAGUAUGUCAGAACGUUGCUGUGACCAUGCAGCUCAGGUUUGGUGAUGGACACCAUCACCAGGACUCAGCAACCUGCUCUGUAUCACACAGGGAAUAUGAGAUAAAGUAGAAAACUAAAUUCUCUAUUUCUACACCCUGGAACAGUAUCAUAAAUCUUGUGCCUUUGUGCUAUGAAAUAGUUAUACUUGCCAGUCACAUAGUACUAUCUAUAUUUAAAAAGUAAUAUGAAGAUUAACUAGUCAGUGUUCACACAGUUCUUAGAAGGCAGGAAAUGAUUAUUCUAAAUAUUCAGGUCUUAACCCUGAACCCGAAGGCUGCAGCAUUUAAGUAAUGCGGAUUAUAGGUUUGAGUCUUCUGUUCAACUUUGAAUUCAGGAUGUAGCAUCACAGAAGAUCAAAUCUUUGCAAGCUCUAUCCAGAUGACUCGGUAGUCUAUUUUGCCAUCUUGUCCUAUAAUUAGCUGCAGCAAAUGGUAAGUAGCAGGGAUUUUUAAAUCCUGGAUUUAAUAUUCUUCUAAAAGAUACAAGGUAUCUGGACAAUCUGUCUUUUUCUUCUCUAUCAUUUCAAAAGCACCUGAAAACUUGGCCUCUAAAUUCUACUGAGCAGAUUUAGUCCCAAAGGGCAUGGGAUAAAUAAAAUUAGUCUGGGCAUAAGUAAAAAUGGAAAGGGCAGAUUGGUAGCAUUGCAUAGAGAAGACAGUCUGUUCAGCAUAAAAGAGAAACAAAAUAUCAUACCAGGUCAGGCUAUCUCUUGAAUGUAUUUAGACCUUAGACAGCAUUAAUAAACUACUUAAUCUCUCAGGCAUGUAGCAAGAGAAGAGUAUAACGCGUACAAGAGAAUACAAUACGUACAAGAGAAGGGUAUAAUGCUCCUGUGUGUAAUUUAUUCUGUCCCCAGUCUGUAGAUGCCUAUUUUCAUGCUCUAGGGAGAGUUUUCAGAGUUUGUUUCCAGAUUCUCUGAACUUUCAAAGAUGCCAGAGCAAGCAUAGCUGCACACAGGCAAAUGAUUAAUAUGAUACUUAAAAGAGUAGAUAGAAAAAUGAGCUACCUCUGUAAAUCACUGCCGCAAAAUCUAAUGAAGCUAAGAAUUCAGGACCAAACAGAGAGCUCUGGAUGAUUUGUGAGUAUUUGGGUACCCAAUGUUGAAACAGUCAGAAUUGAAACCAAACCCAAUCCAAAAGAAGUAAUUGGAAAUACUCAGUAUGUUCCCAUAUGAUGGUAGGAGCAAGAGAAUAUCUCUGUGUUAAAUUAUUUUCUACUUACAUUUCCUUGUAGGAGAUGGGGGAGGCAGUUUGCUGAGGAGAUGGAGCUCAUUGUUUAAAUGAGAGAUUGGACCAGGUGAUUUGUCCUUUUAGUCACCUCCUUCCCAUUGUGUUUCAGAGGCCUAGUAUUAAAAGGGAGCCAUUAGAAGUCAUGACUGGCCUCAGAGGACCUCUCCCUGGACUCGUGCUUAAUUCUACACAGCCACUCACUCACUGCCAUCUUUGAGGAAAGCAAGAGAGAACUGGAAAGAAAAGGUGUAUGGAUUAGUUGGAUGAACCUGUCAGUGGAUAAGGAGUGGAUGGCCACAUUCAAAGAGCUGUGGUACACAGCCCGAUGUUCAGCUGGAGAACAAAGAAGACUGAUGUCCUUCAAGAGCUGUUACUGGGACAGGUAUCAUUUAAUAUCUGUAUUGGAGACGUGGACAGUGGUCUCAGGUUCACCCUCAGCAGGUCUGGGGUUGACACUAAGCUGCGUGGUGCGGUCAGCAUGCUGGAGGGAAGUGAUGCCCCUAUGAGGGACCUGAGGAGGCUGAAGAAGUGGGCCUGUGUGAACCUCAUGAAGUUAACAAGGCCAACUGCAAGGUCUUGCACUUGGGUUGGGGCAAUCCCAAGCAUGAAGACAGGUUGAGUGGAGAAUGGAUUAAGCUCAGACACGCAGUGAAGGAUUUAGGUGUGUUGUUGGACAAAAACAGAAUGUUUCUGAAUUCUGAAUGAUGAAUGAAUACGUUUGUCCAACAGUUAAUUCCUUCAAUUCAAGCAUCAGGUCCAGUUUUCAUUUACUUUUGUCUUCCAUGAGCUUCUAGUCAUUGAGUUUCUGUAAUGUUUUUGGUCUUCUUCCUCUCAGUUUCUGUAUAUUGAGAAUUUCAAACUACUUCUUACCUUUUUUCUUCUUUAUGUAAGAAUAGACUGAGUUUAUCAUUUUAAAAGUAACACAGGUUUUCAUAACCUUCUUCUGCUAUCUUUCAAAUUUACCAGUAUUAUGUUUUUAAAUGAAGAUAUUCAUGGUCUUUCACAAGUAGUCCCAUCAUCUCCAGACAGUAGGAAGAUCACCUUCUUAAUUGCUACUGCCAGAGCCAUAGCAAGAACACAAAUACAGUUUGCAUUUGCCCAGUUUGCUGCUGCAGCACUGUGUUGGUAUUACACAUUUAGUUGAUUUAUCACUUUAAUGACUGAUUUUUUUCUUUUUCAGAGUAAUUUCAUCACCUUAAUGAAAAGGAAGAUGACCUUUUAAAAUAAUUACAUCCAAUAACAACUCAAUUUUAGUGUGAUAAAUGCUCUUUGCUCCUUAAUUUGUAUUAUUUGAUUUGUAGCAAUGCAAUAGCAGGAUAACUAAAUUUCAGCUAAUCCCCAAUGAAUAUCAUUCAAAGAGUGAAAAAAAUAUAUUUUCAAAUACCUGGAACAAGAUGUCAGUGCACACAACUCUGUCCUCUACAGCAGUGGACAGAUCUUCUUCCUAACCCUAAGUAAUUAUGGGCACAGAAUUUAAAGAAAUCUAUAUGCAGACAUCCGUAUGCAAUCCUUUCCGCAUUAUCUGGGAAUUACUGUUUUCUUACCUUCUGGGAAGUGUCUGUGUGGAGACCCUUUAUUUUACCCGUUCAUUGCAGCCCAUUGCUGCUGUCUGUGCAGGUUACGCCCAAAUGAAGGCUUGCAAAGUCUUCCAUACACUAGUACUUAGCAGGCACUUCUACCAAAACAGCCUCAGGUGGAUGUUUUUCUACUAAAGUCAAAGUGUCAGAGGGCACACAAUGCUUUUCACUAAGAUAUCUUGUCUCUAGACAGCGCACAUCUGUUCUCUGAACAGUAUGUUCAUGAAUGAACUGGAGUAGAGAGUGAGCUCUGAGGUGAUUAAAGUCUUCUGAUGAUACAGUGUUAUUCAAAGCAAAAAAGACAGGAGCUUACCAUGAAAAACUACAUAGAGAUCUUACAAGACUGAGUGACGGGGCAAUAAAAUGAAAGAUAAAAUUCAGUGUAGAUAAAUG